rnacentral:misc_RNA from 1 species
UCUGACAGUAGCAGAAGUUAGGCAGUAAAAGUUUGAGGAUAAUUGAUAAGUCAUUGGGUUUAUCCAUUCCAACAGAAAGAAGUUAGAAUUAAACAGAAAAUGAAUGUUGACGGAAUCAGUUUAAAUAGUUGCAUUUCUAUGAAAUUACUUUUGCUCGUCACAUUUCUAUGGAGUUGUUAUUCCAAAGUAUUCAGUGUUCAGCUGUUCAUUUUGGGUUUUCAAGACAGG